CCGAUGGAGGGGGAUAACUACUGGAAACGGUAGCUAAUACCGCAUAACGUCGCAAGACCAAAGAGGGGGACCUUAGGGCCUCUUGCCAUCGGAUGUGCCCAGAUGGGAUUAGCUAGUAGGUGGGGUAAUGGCUCACCUAGGCGACGAUCCCUAGCUGGUCUGAGAGGAUGAUCAGCCACACUGGGACUGAGACACGGCCCAG
rnacentral:rRNA from 1 species